GGGCGGUUAGCUCAGCGGUAGAGCACUUCGUUGACAUCGAAGGGGUCACAAGUUCGAUCCUUGUACCGCCCA
rfam:Thalassobius mediterraneus strain CECT 8383 genome assembly, contig: 0012